UACGUAGGGCGCAAGCGUUGUCCGGAAUUAUUGGGCGUAAAGAGCUCGUAGGCGGUUUGUCGCGUCUGCUGUGAAAACCUAAGGCUCAACCUUGGGCUUGCAGUGGGUACGGGCAGACUAGAGUGCGGUAGGGGUGACUGGAAUUCCUGGUGUAGCGGUGGAAUGCGCAGAUAUCAGGAGGAACACCAAUGGCGAAGGCAGGUCACUGGGCCGCAACUGACGCUGAGGAGCGAAAGCAUGGGGAGCGAACAGG
rnacentral:rRNA from 1 species